UACGUAGGGGUCUAGCGUUGUCCGGAAUUAUUGGGCGUAAAGAGCGCGUAGGCGGUCCGGUAAGUCCGCUCUGAAAGUCCGGGGCUCAACCCCGGGAGGCGGGCGGAUACUGUCGGGCUAGAGUCCGGAAGAGGCGAGUGGAAUUCCUGGUGUAGCGGUGAAAUGCGCAGAUAUCAGGAGGAACACCGAUGGCGAAGGCAGCUCGCUGGGACGGUACUGACGCUGAGGCGCGAAAGCGUGGGGAGCAAACAGG
rnacentral:rRNA from 1 species